GAUCGGUGAUGACGGUAUCCCGAAUCUGAAUGUGCAUUGUGUUGAAAGCACUCCACAAAUCUGGCUAUUGAGAU